GAACGAUGAUGAACUGUGUCUGCGCGGGUUGAAGCCAGAGGAAACUCUGGUGGAGGAUUGCAGCGGUUCUGACAUGCAAAUCGAUUGUUAGCCGUGAGUAUAGGGGCGAAAGAUCAAUCGAGCCAUCUAGUUGCU
rnacentral:ncRNA from 1 species